rnacentral:rRNA from 1 species
UACUUCGUUCAGUUACGUAUUGCUGGUGCUGUCGAUUCCGUUUGUGUCUUGUGUUAACCUUUCUGUUGGUGCUGAUAUUGCAGAGUUUGAUCCUGGCUCAGAUUGAACGCUGGCGGAACGCUUUACACAUGCAAGUCGAACGGUAACAGCGAGGAAAGCUUGUUUUUUCGGCUGACGAGUGGCGAACGGGUGAGUAAUACAUCGGAACGUGUCCGCUCGUGGGGACAACCAUCCGAAAGGAUGGCUAAUACCGCAUGAGUUCUACGGAAGAAAGAGGGGACCUGCUUGCAGGCCUCUCGCGAGCGGAGCGGCCGAUGACUGAUUAGCCAGUUGGUGAGGUAACGGCUCACCAAAGCAACGAUCAGUAGCUGGUCUGAGAGGACGACCAGCCACACUGGGACUGAGACACGGCCCAGACUCCUACGGGAGGCAGCAGUGGGGGAAUUUUGGACAAUGGGCGCAAGCCUGAUCCAGCUAUUCCGCGUGUGGGAUGACGGCCCUCGGGUUGUAAACCACUUUAGUAGAGAACGAAAGGAGCUAUCGAAUAAAUAGCUCUGCUGACGGUACUCUAAGAAUAAGCACCGGCUAACUACGUGCCAGCAGCCGCGGUAAUACGUAGGGUGAGCGUUAAUCGGAAUUACUGGGCGUAAAGGGUGUGCAGGCGGCUGAGUAAGACAGAUGUGAAAUCCCCGGCUUAACCUGGGAACCGCAUAUGUGACUGCUUGGCUAGAGUGCGUCAGAGGGAGGUGGAAUUCCACGUGUAGCAGUGAAAUGCGUAGAUAUGUGGAAGAACACCGAUGGCGAAGGCAGCCUCCUGGGACGCAACUGACGCUCAUACACGAAAGCGUGGGGAGCAAACAGGAUUAGAUACCCUGGUAGUCCACGCCUAAACGAUGUCAACUAGUUGUUGGGGAUUAAAAUUCUCAGUAACGCAGCCAACGCGUGAAGUUGACCGCCUGGGAAGUACGGUCGCAAGACUAAAACUCAAAGGAAUUGACGGGGACCCGCACAAGCGGUGGAUGAUGUGGAUUAAUUCGAUGCAACGCGAAAACCUUACCUACCCUGACAUCAAGAGAAGCUUUUGUAAUGAGAGUGUGCCCGCAAGGGCGUCUGAACACAGGUGCUGCAUGGCUGUCGUCAGCUCGUGUCGUGAGAUGUUGGGUUAAGUCCCGCAACGAGCGCAACCCUUGUCACUAGUUGCUACGAAAGGGCACUCUAGUGAGACUGCCGGUGACAAACCGGAGGAAGGUGGGGAUGACGUCAAGUCCUCAUGGCCCUUAUGGGUAGGGCUUCACACGUCAUACAAUGGUCGGAACAGAGGGCAGCCAACCCGUGAGGGGAGCAAAUCCCAGAAAACCGAUCGUAGUCCGGAUUGCAGUCUGCAACUCGACUGCAUGAAGUCGGAAUCGCUAGUAAUCGCGGAUCAGCAUGCCGCGGUGAAUACGUUCCCGGGUCUUGUACACACCGCCCGUCAAACAAUGGGAGUGGUGUUUACCAGAAGUCGUUAGCCUAACCGCAAGGGGGCGGCGACCACGGUGAGCACCGUGACUAAUGUUAAGUCGUAACAAGGUAGCCGUACCGGAAGGUGCGGCUGGAUCACCCCCUUCAAGAGAAAGCGAAUGAAAGCUUUAGAAGACGCGUGAAUUCAUUCAGCGCUCACUCUUAUCGGCAGUCGAUAAAUCGAAAAGAAAUAUGUUCUUUAACAAUUCGGAAAGAUUGAAAAAUCUAACGUUAAGACUGAUUUGAUGAGAGUCAGUCAAGACGGGUAGUGAUUGGAAAUCAAGCAAAGUUAAAACUUUGAGAUUUCAAGCAUGAGACAUUGACAGCAUAUGGGCACAAAGAACCAGUUACUUGUGACCCGGCCGGGCAAUAGGCGGCAGGGUUAUAGGAUCAAGUGACAAGUGCAUGUGGCGGAUGCCUGCGAUCACAGGCGAAGAAAGACGCGGCAGCCUGCGAAAGCUGCGGGAGCUGGCAAACGAGCAUUGAUCCGCAGAUAUCUGAAUGGGGAACCCACACCGCAAGGUGUAUCUGCAUCUGAAUACAUAGGGUGCAGAGGCGAACGAGGAGAACUGAAACAUCUAAGUAUCCUCAGGAAAAAAAUCAACCGAGAUUCCGGCAGUAGCGGCGAGCGACCCGGAAGAGCCUAACAGCUGAUAGUUUGAAGCGUAGUCGAACGGAAUGGAAAGUCCGGCCAUAGCGGGUGAUAGCCCCGUAGGCGAAACGCUUUGAAUGGUACUAAGGCAGUGAGAAGUAGAGCGGGACACGUGGAAUCCUGUUCGAAGACGGGGGACCAUCCUCCAAGGCUAAAUACUCGUGAUCGACCGAUAGUGAACCAGUACCGUGAGGGAAAGGGGAAAAAAACCCCGGGGGGGAGUGAAAUAGAACCUGAAACCGCAUGCAUACAAACAGUAGGAGCUCCGUAAGGAGUGACUGCGUACUUUGCAUAAUGGGUCAGCGACUUACAUUCUGUGGCGAGCUUAACCGACUAGGGGAGGCGCAGCGAAAGCGAGUUCGAAUAGAGCGAACAGUCGCAGGGUGUAGACCCGAAACCAGAUGAGCUAUCCAUGGCCAGGUUGAAGGUGUGGUAACACACACUGGAGGACCGAACCGACUAGUGUUGCAAAAUUAGCGGAUGAGCUGUGGAUAGGGUGAAAGGCCAAACAAAUCUGGAGAUAGCUGGUUCUCCCGAAAACUAUUGAGGUAGUGCCUCGUGUAUCGCUCCAGGGUAGAGCACUGUUUUGGCUAGGGGACAUGGAGUCUUACCAAACCAAGGCAAACCCGAAUACCUGGAAGCGUGAGCACGGGAGACAGAGCACCGGGUGCUAACGUCCGGACUAAAGGGAAACAACCCAGACCGCCGGCUAAGGUCCCCAAUAAUGGCUAAGUGGAAAACGAAGUGGAAAGGCCGUGACAACCAGGAAGUUGGCUUAGAAGCAGCCAUCCUUCAAAGAAAGCGUAAUAGCUCACUGGUCGAGUCUUUCUGCGCGGAAGAUGUAACGGGGCUAAGCCAUUAACCGAAGCCGCGGAUGCAGAGAUUAUUCUCUGCGUGGUAGAGCGUUCUGUAAGUCUGCGAAGGAGUCUUGAGAAGGAUUCUGGAGAUAUCAGAAGUGCGAAUGCUGACAUGAGUAACGUUAAAGCGGGUGAAAAGCCCGCUCGCCGUAAGCGGUUUCCUGCUCUACGUUCAUCGGAGCAGGGUGAGUCGGCCCCAAGGCGAGGCCGAAAGGCGUAGUCGAUGGGAAUCGGGUUAAUAUUCCCGAACCGCCGCCGAAUGCGAUGGGGUGACGGAGUUUAGAAGGUCAGCCGGGUUGGACGUCCCGGUGGGUGAGUGUAGGAGGUCUGCAGGCAAAUCCGCAGACGCAUCUCCGAGCAAAGCCGCGAUCUGCUAAGGCAGAGAAGUGAUUGGACGAACUUCCAAGAAAACCCCCUAGCGUCAGUUCGGCGGGACCGUACCGCAAACCGACACUGGUGGGCGAGCUGAAUAUGCUCAGGCGCUUGAGAGAACUCGGGAGAAGGAACUCGGCAAAUUGACACCGUAACUUCGGAAGAAGGUGUGCCUGAGUAACGUAGGCGCAGAGACUGCGUUCGCGUGAAAAGGUCUCAGAGAAUAGGUGGCUGCGACUGUUUAUUAAAACACAGCACUCUGCCAAGUCGAAAGACGACGUAUAGGUGUGAUGCCUGCCCGGUGCUGGAAGAUUAAUUGAUGGGCUGAGAGGCCUUGAUCGAAGUCCCAGUAAACGGCGGCCGUAACUAUAACGGUCCUAAGGUAGCGAAAUUCCUUGUCGGGUAAGUUCCGACCUGCACGAAUGGCAUAACGAUGGCCACACUGUCUCCCCCGAGACUCAGUGAAGUUGAAAUGUUUGUGAUGAUGCAAUCUACCCGCGGCUAGACGGAAAGACCCCAUGAACCUUUACUGCAGCUUUGCAUUGAACUGUGAACCGAUUUGUGUAGGAUAGGUGGGAGGCAGAGAAACGUGUACGCCAGUACGCGGAGCCAACCUUGAAAUACCACCCUGAUUUGUUUGCGGUUCUAACCCGGGACAGUGACCCUGUUCGGGGACCGUGCAUGGUAGGCAGUUUAACUGGGGCGGUGAAGAUAGAGCGACAGGCAAGUAGGUUAACACAAAGACUACAAACAGCACCAGCAAUACGUAA